rnacentral:rRNA from 1 species
GAUGAACGCUGGCGGCGUGCCUAAUACAUGCAAGUCGAGCGAACGGACGAGAAGCUUGCUUCUCCGAUGUUAGCGGCGGACGGGUGAGUAACACGUGGAUAACCUACCUAUAAGACUGGGAUAACUUCGGGAAACCGGAGCUAAUACCGGAUAAUAUUUUGAACCGCAUGGUUCAAAAGUGAAAGACGGUCUUGCUGUCACUUAUAGAUGGAUCCGCGCUGCAUUAGCUAGUUGGUAAGGUAACGGCUUACCAAGGCAACGAUGCAUAGCCGACCUGAGAGGGUGAUCGGCCACACUGGAACUGAGACACGGUCCAGACUCCUACGGGAGGCAGCAGUAGGGAAUCUUCCGCAAUGGGCGAAAGCCUGACGGAGCAACGCCGCGUGAGUGAUGAAGGUCUUCGGAUCGUAAAACUCUGUUAUUAGGGAAGAACAUAUGUGUAAGUAACUGUGCACAUCUUGACGGUACCUAAUCAGAAAGCCACGGCUAACUACGUGCCAGCAGCCGCGGUAAUACGUAGGUGGCAAGCGUUAUCCGGAAAUUAUGGGCGUAAAGCGCGCGUAGCGGUUUUUUAAGUCUGAUGUGAAAGCCCACGGCUCAACCGUGGAGGGUCAUUGGAAACUGGAAAACUUGAGUGCAGAAGAGGAAAGUGGAAUUCCAUGUGUAGCGGUGAAAUGCGCAGAGAUAUGGAGGAACACCAGUGGCGAAGGCGACUUUCUGGUCUGUAACUGACGCUGAUGUGCGAAAGCGUGGGGAUCAAACAGGAUUAGAUACCCUGGUAGUCCACGCCGUAAACGAUGAGUGCUAAGUGUUAGGGGGUUUCCGCCCCUUAGUGCUGCAGCUAACGCAUUAAGCACUCCGCCUGGGGAGUACGACCGCAAGGUUGAAACUCAAAGGAAUUGACGGGGACCCGCACAAGCGGUGGAGCAUGUGGUUUAAUUCGAAGCAACGCGAAGAACCUUACCAAAUCUUGACAUCCUUUGACAACUCUAGAGAUAGAGCCUUCCCCUUCGGGGGACAAAGUGACAGGUGGUGCAUGGUUGUCGUCAGCUCGUGUCGUGAGAUGUUGGGUUAAGUCCCGCAACGAGCGCAACCCUUAAGCUUAGUUGCCAUCAUUAAGUUGGGCACUCUAAGUUGACUGCCGGUGACAAACCGGAGGAAGGUGGGGAUGACGUCAAAUCAUCAUGCCCCUUAUGAUUUGGGCUACACACGUGCUACAAUGGACAAUACAAAGGGCAGCGAAACCGCGAGGUCAAGCAAAUCCCAUAAAGUUGUUCUCAGUUCGGAUUGUAGUCUGCAACUCGACUACAUGAAGCUGGAAUCGCUAGUAAUCGUAGAUCAGCAUGCUACGGUGAAUACGUUCCCGGGUCU